ACUGGCCAGUACCAGCAUCAACAAAACCUACGUCCCUCCUCCUUCGUCCUUUAGUCUCUCUUUCCCUCUUCAACAAAACUGCUUCUAUGUCUCUCUCUUCCCCUCUUCACUCUCAGUCCGCUCCUUCGAAUGCAUGUCCAGCAAACCACUGUUGUUCCCAUGUUGCUGUUCCAGAGCAUGCCAAAAGAUGGAAGUAAUUGAGCUCAUGCUGAUGCUAUUAGAGAUGUGUUUAAAUUGGAGUUUAAUGAUGAAUGUAAUGUGAGUUUUCAUAGUACUUCUUUUUUUGGCCUUUAUGGAUCUUUCUAUUUUCUUACUUUGAAUUUCUAUCAUCCCAGAAUAAUAUGAAGUUUGGGGGUUGUUUUUGCAAUUGAUUGUUACUAUUGAAUUUAAGAACAAAUAAUAGUUGAACC